rnacentral:rRNA from 1 species
UUUAAUUGGAGAGUUUGAUCCUGGCUCAGAUUGAACGCUGGCGGCAUGCCUAACACAUGCAAGUCGCACGCGAAAGCGGGGCAACCCGCAAGUAGAGUGGCGGACGGGUGAGUAACGCGUAGGAAUCUACCUGGUAGUGGGGGA